GUGAAUCAUCAAAUUUUUGAACGCAAAUUGCACUCUCUGGUAUUCCGGAGAGCAUGCCUGUUUGAGGGUCAGUUUAAAUAAAAAUCGGUGUGGUUGCUGCCUUUCGUGGUGACGCACCGGUUUUGAGUCGCCUUGCCUUCGGUUAAGUGACUUAGCAUUUUGCAUGCUUUUUUCGUACGUCUUUAAAUGAUUUUACGUAAGUUUGCGAUAUCGUAUACCUGG
rnacentral:misc_RNA from 1 species